UCACAAAUGUUCGGUUGCAAGUGCCGCCGGUUGCUAUGUCCACGCUCACGGUUGCUAGGAUAAGAAAAUGAGACUCUUAACAUUUUCAGGCGAUAAAAGCCAGCCACUCUGGGUUUGUAACUGCUGUAGCUAACUAUGAUCCCGGUGUUGAUAGUACUACUGGAGGCAUUGAUUGGCUACAGAAGCACUUAGAUUGCUGUGGUAUUCAGAACGCAUCUGAUUGGCGAGAAAACGCCCAAAAAGCUACGAUAUGGAUUAAAACCUAUUUCAACAGCGUUCCAGACUCUUGUUGCAAAAGGCUGCGGGACCAGUGGAACCCAACUCCCAAAUGCGGGGAAGAACAAGGAAUGGGGAAUAGUCCACUCAUCCACAACGGGGGUUGCUACGAGAAGAUGGUAGCUUGGAUCUACACAUACAUGCCUAUGAUGGGGGUCAUGGCUCUGGCGUUCAUUCUCUUCGAAGCUGCUGUUAUCCUGAUUACCUGCGUUCUCAGGAGAGAUGGCUUAUCUCCGGUGCCUGUCAGAAUACAGUAGCCGAAUAAUCUAAUAGACAAUAUCUGCUGAGGAUGAUGACACGUGGUAUUGCCAUGUGAUAUUACCACGUGGUAUUACCUCGUGAUAUUACCACGUGAUAUUACCACGUGAUAUUACCACGUGAUAUUACCACGUGAUAUUACCACGUGAUAUUACCACGUGAUAUUACCACGUGAUAUUACCACGUGAUAUUGCCACGUGAUAUUACCACGUGAUAUUGCCACGUGAUAUUACCACGUGAUAUUGCCACGUGAUAUUACCACGUGAUAUUACCACGUGAUAUUACCACGUGAUAUUACCACGUGAUAUUGCCACGUGAUAUUGCCACGUGAUUAUACCAUUUUAUUUGGUCGAGGUUAAAUUAACGGGUUUAUUGGUUACCAGGUUACCAGGUUGCCCUGCACUAUAUACUGUUUAUUUAUAUUACGAUAAAAGGACACUAAUUCGGUUGAUGAGCAUUUGAGAGUUUAUCCAAUGCUUUAAUAUAGCACUCUAUUAUCUUCGAUUUAUAAUUACGUAAAGGAUCAUUGUAUCUUAAUUGUUGGAUGUCGGAUUUAUUAUUUCAAAUCUUAUGCGGAUAGUUAGCAGUUAUUCUUUAUUAACAACUGAAAGGCUUAACUGAGGUCCACAAACUUUAGAUUGUGCAUUUAUAUCAAGCUAAUACAUUUUAAUAUUUACUGAUAUUUCUUCAGUAAAUUUUAUUUCAGCAACAUUUUAAAAAUACAUAUAAUUAUAAUAUUCAGGUUAUAAUGAUUCACAAAAUAUUUUUUAAGAUCCACAUUCCACAGUACUGUGCACGCAAUAUGAUCCGGUCCUCGCUUA